GACGAACGCUGGCGGCGUGCUUAACACAUGCAAGUCGAACGGAAAGGCCCUGCUUUUGUGGGGUGCUCGAGUGGCGAACGGGUGAGUAACACGUGAGUAACCUGCCCUUGACUUUGGGAUAACUUCAGGAAACUGGGGCUAAUACCGGAUAGGAGCUCCUGCUGCAUGGGGGGGGUUGGAAAGUUUCGGCGGUUGGGGAUGGACUCGCGGCUUAUCAGCUUGUUGGUGGGGUAGUGGCUUACCAAGGCUUUGACGGGUAGCCGGCCUGAGAGGGUGACCGGCCACAUUGGGACUGAGAUACGGCCCAGACUCCUACGGGAGGCAGCAGUGGGGAAUAUUGCACAAUGGGCGGAAGCCUGAUGCAGCAACGCCGCGUGCGGGAUGACGGCCUUCGGGUUGUAAACCGCUUUCGCCUGUGACGAAGCGUGAGUGACGGUAAUGGGUAAAGAAGCACCGGCUAACUACGUG
rnacentral:rRNA from 1 species